UGGCAGCACAGUCCACGGCUGAUAUCACACUCGCUUGACAUAGUGCACUCCUCAUCUUUGAUCCGUCGACUAGUGAAACUACAAAUUAUCAAAUGGUUCUCACCGGCUGAUGUAGACGAUUCUUUUCUCUCCAUAACAUGACGCAUGCUGGAAGAUCGAGCACACAGGCAUUGACCGUGAUCGUGACUUUCGACUCGAGUCACAAAUUUCUCAGUAGAAGAUCGUCGUAAAAAAAAGCUUCGAAAGCGCUAGUCUCUUAACGACUAUCAGUGAAAUAUCCGGAAAGACUACAUACGCUGUCGACAUAAAUCCCAAUUAAACUGCCUCAUACGCGCCGGUCAGAGACACCUGUAACCUA